GUUGCGGCCAAGUAACUAUAGAGCAGAGGUGGCCAACCUGAGCCUGAGAAGGAGUCAGAAUUUACCAAUGUACAUUGCCAAAGAGCCACAACUGCGAAAACACUGCUUCCUCUUGUGAAACUACCCACCCAUUAUCCAUGCUAUUGCCUAAGUUUUCACUGAGCAUUUAGCAAACCCAAAGACACAACUGGAGAAGGUCUCCAACCAUAUUUACCUAGUCCACAAAAAAGGCAGCAGAGAAGACAGACAUCCUUAAGGCCAAUGAUACUGAAGAUACCAGAUUGUUUCAUUGCUUAACUGUGGACCAAAGAGAGGGUUGAGCUGGGCCAGGAUCGCAAUCAGCCAA